rnacentral:rRNA from 1 species
AGCAGCCGCGGUAAUUCCAGCUCCAAUAGCGUAUAUUAAAGUUGUUGCAGUUAAAAAGCUCGUAGUUGAAUUUCGGGGUCAGUAGGUUGGUCAUGCCACUGGUAUGUACUGGUCUCACUGAUUCCUCCUUCCUGAUGAACUGUAAUGCCAUUAAUUUGGUGUUGCAGGGAAUCUGGACUGUUACUUUGAAAAAUUAGAGUGUUUAAAGCAGGCUAACGCCUGAAUACAUUAGCAUGGAAUAAUGAAAUAGGACGUUCGAUCCUAUUUUGUUGGUUUCUAGGAUUGACGUAAUGAUUAAUAGGGAUAGUUGGGGGCAUUAGUAUUCAAUUGUCAGAGGUGAAAUUCUUGGAUUUAUUGAAGACUAACUACUGCGAAAGCAUUUGCCAAGGAUUGUUUUACAUUAAUCAAGAACGAAAGUUAGGGGAUCGAAGACGAUCAGAUACCGUGUAGUCUUAACCAUAAACUAUAGCCGACUAGGGAUCGGAUGAUGUUUUAAUUUUUAAUGUACUUAGUUCGGUAC